rnacentral:misc_RNA from 1 species
GUUCCGUAGGUGAACCUGCGGAAGGAUCAUUAUUGUAUAACCGAGGUGCGAGGGCUGUCGCUGACCCGAAAGGUCGUGCACGCCCGAGUGCCCUCACACACAUCCAUCUCACCCCUAUGUGCACCACCGCGUGGGUCCCCCUUUGGCUUGUUCGGAGGGGGGCUUACGUUUUCACACAAACUUUGUAUGCAGUAUAGAAUGUAUUUUUUGUUUUUGCGAUCACGCAAUCAAUACAACUUUCAACAACGGAUCUCUUGGCUCUC